AUUGAACGCUGGCGGCAUGCCUUACACAUGCAAGUCGAACGGUAACAGGUCUUCGGAUGCUGACGAGUGGCGAACGGGUGAGUAAUACAUCGGAACGUGCCUAGUAGUGGGGGAUAACUACUCGAAAGAGUGGCUAAUACCGCAUGAGAUCUACGGAUGAAAGCAGGGGAUCGCAAGACCUUGUGCUACUAGAGCGGCCGAUGGCAGAUUAGGUAGUUGGUGGGAUAAAAGCUUACCAAGCCGACGAUUUGUAGCUGGUCUGAGAGGGCGAUCAGCCACACUGGGACUGAGACACGGCCCAGACUCCUACGGGAGGCAGCAGUGUGGAAUUUUGGACAAUGGGCGCAAGCCUGAUCCAGCAAUGCCGCGUGCAGGAUGAAGGCCUUCGGGUUGUAAACUGCUUUUGUACGGAACGAAAAGCCCCGGGUUAAUACCCUGGGGUCAUGACGGUACCGUAAGAAUAAGCACCGGCUAACUACGUGCCAGCCGCCGCCGUAA
rnacentral:rRNA from 1 species